rnacentral:lncRNA from 1 species
GUCCCAAGACAAGGCAAGCCAAAGCAAGGCACAAGGCAAGGUAAGAUAAGGCACAGAACAAGGCAAGGAACAAAGCAAGGCAAGGGACAAGGCAAGGCAAGGCACAAGGCAAGACAAGGCAUGGCAAGGCAAGGCAAUUUACAAGGCAAGGCUGUUUACAAGGCUAGGCAAGGCAGGGCAAGGCACAAGCCAAGCCAAGGCAAGGCACAAAGCAAGGCAAGGGAAGGCAUAGGGCAAGCCACAAGGCCAGGCAGUGCAAGGCGCAAGGCAAGGGAAGACAAGGCAAGGCACAAGGCAAGGCAAACCAAGGCACAAGGCAAGGCACAAGGCACAAAGCAAGGCAAGGCACAAGGCAAGAAACAAGCCAAAGGAAGGCAAGUAAUAAGACAAAGCAAAUCAAUGCACAAGUCAAGGCAAGGCAAGGCACAAUGCAAGUCAAUGCAAGGCACAAGGCAAGGGAAAGCAAUGCAAGGCAAGCCACAAGGCAAGGCAAGGCACAAGGCGAGGUAAGGCAAGGCACAAGGCAAGGGAAAGCAAUGCAAGGCAAGGCACAAGCAAGGCAAGGCACAAGGCAAGGCAAGGCACAAGGCAAGGCAAGGCACAAGGCAAGGUAAGGCAAGGCACAAGGCAAGGCAAGGGACAAAGCAAGACAAGGCAAUGCAAACACAAGGCAAGCCAAGGCACAAGGCAAGGCAAGACAAGGCACAAAUCAAGGCAAGGCAAGGAACAAGGCAAGGAAAAUCAAGGCACAAGGAAAGGCACAAGGCAAGGCAAGGCAAGGCACAAGGCAAGGCAAGGCAAGGCACAGGGCAAGGCAAGGCACAAAGCAAGGCAAGGCACAAGGCAAAGCGAAGGGAAGGCAAGGCACAAGGCAAGUGAAGGGAAGGCAAGGCACAAGGCAAGCAAAGGGAAGGCAAGGCACAAGGCAAGUCAAGGCACCAGGCAAAGCAAGGCAAGGCAAGGCACAAAGCAAGGGAAGUGAAGGCAAAAGGCAAGGCAAGGCAAGGUGCAAGGCAAGUCAAGGCAAGGCACAAGGGAAUAGUGAGGCAAAGCAAAAAGUAAAGCAAGGCAAGGCAAGGCAAGGCACAAGGCAAGGCAAGUCAAAGCAAAGCAGAAAGCAAGGCACAACAAGGCAAGGCCCUAGUCAAGGCAAACCAAACAAGGCACAACGCAAGGCAAAGCAAGGCACAAGGCAAGGCAAGGCACAAGCAAGGCAAGGCAAGGCACAAGGCAAGGAAAGACAAGGCAUGGCAAGGCAACGCACAAGGGAAGGCAAGUUACAAGGCAAGGCAAUUUACAAGGAAAGGCAAUUUAUAAGGCAAGGCAAUUUACAAGGCAAGGGAAGGCAAUUUAGGAGGCGAGGAGAGGCAAGGCAAGGCAAGGCAAUUUGCAAGGCAAGGCACUAGCCAAGGCAAGGCAAGGCAAAUCAAGGCACAAGGCAACACAAUGCAAGGCACAAGGCAAGGCAAAUCAAGGCACAAGCAAGGCACAAGCCAAGGGAAGGAAAGGCUUGUCAAGGCUAGGUGAGGCACAAGGCAAGGCCCAGCAAGGCAUAAGGCAAGGCAUGGUGUAGUAAAAAUAUGAUACUGUAAUCUCAUGGGACCACCAUUGUAUAUGCAUUCCAUCAUUGAUCAAAAUGUCAUUAUGCAAUACAUGAGUAAUUAAAAUAAUGCCACAAUUAAAUAUGCUGUGGUAUCUUGAACUGGAUCCUAGAACAGAAAAAGAACUUUAGUGGAAAAACUGGUGUAAUCCAAACAAAGUCUCUAAUCUCAUAAAUAUACCAAUAGUCAUGGCUUAGUUUUGAGAAAUUGUCAUGGUAUAUAUAAAGAUAUUACUAUUAAGGGAAGUUGAGUGAAAGAUAUAUGGGAACUCUCUGUAAACUUUUGUGUAAAUCUAGAAUUUUUCCAAAAUAAAAAGUUAAAAAAACGGUAAGCCCCACUAGCCUUUGCUGGAGAAGUUCAUUGAUGUUUACCAUUUACAUGACUUUAUUAGGCAGAAUUGGACUCACUAACCAGUUCACAUCUAAAAACAUUACUCUAUGACAUUUAUAUUAAUACAUUUUGAAUAACUGUGCUCACAGGAGUUAAGGAGAGGUGAGGGUGGGAGGAAAAUUGGUAUGGUUAUAAAAGGGCAACAUGAAGGAUCCUUGACGUGAUGGAAAUGUUCUAAAGCUUGACUGUAGCAAUAUGAUACAAUUAUCAUAUUGAUAUGGACAGGAGACAGGGAAACACUAGAUAGAAGAGGGUGGUUCCCUAGCAAAGGCCCCACCCUCAAGCCUGGAUAUCCGAGGCCCUAAGUGAGAACAGGCAUUCCUGUUUUUGUCCCAAAAUGUUGCCUUUUUGCCUGUCAUGCCUCCUAUGCUGUACCCAUAUAAACCCCAAACCCCAGGCUCCAGAAGAGACCAGGAGAUGAGACAAGCAGAUGAACGGUGGAAUGACAUGGCAGAGAAAGAAGAAGAGGAGGAACAUUUGAACACUGAGAGGAGUUUGGCUGGGGGUGGUCAGAGACGAUUUCGGCCACUGGAUGGCCCAACUGCAGGGGAAGAUCAUCUUCUCACUCCAUCCCCCCAUUUCAGCUCCCAUCCAUCCCACUGAGAGCCACCUCCACCACUCAAUAAAACCUCACAUUCAUCCUUCAAUACUGUGUGUGACCCGAUUCUUCUGGGAUGCUGGGCAAGAGCUCGGGGUACAGGAAGCUGUCACACUGGCCCUCUGCCCUUGAGAAAAGGCAGACGGUCCAUCGAGCUGGUUAACACUUAAAAGCUGUCUGCAGAUGGCAAGGCUAAGAGAGCAUUGUAACACUGGGCUUGCAGGCACCUACCCCUAGACACAACCACGGGGCUGGAGCCCAAAGCGCUCACCCUGUCCUCUGCACCUGCCCGUCUGCAUGCUCUCCUCUCCUGCAAGGGGUUUGAGGAGCAGCGACAGCUACCAAACAGGCGAGCCACACCCCUGUUGCAUGUCCUGCAAGGGGGAUCAGGGAACUCUCCUGUUUCAUCAUUGUACUAUAAUUUUGCAAGAUGGUUUCAUUGGGAAGAAACAAGGUAAAGGCUAUACAGGAUCUAUCAUUCCUUACAACUAUAAUUGUCUCAAAAAAUUUAGUUAAAAAGAGUAAAGAUAAAAAGCUUAAAAAACGGGAAAAAUAGUUGCUGGGCUCAAAGGAAAUAUUGAUAACGCAAGAGAUGUAAGAUUUGAUAUCUCUGAAUCAUUAAUAUUGAUUGUAUUGGCCAAACUGAACUUGUGAAGAGAAGAAAUUCUCAAGUAUUUUUCAGAAUAAUCAGGAAGACUUUCAGUUUAUAGUUUAUACUAGGUCAUGGAACCAAAAGAUUCAUCAUCCAAAUGCUACACAAAAACAUAGUAGGAAAAUUGUCCUACCUCCCCUGUUCCUCCUCUGUCUAGGUCUCCCCACUGACACCCUCAUGAUCAGCUUUGGAAGGAACACUAGAUUUCAAAGGCACUGAAAUAAAGUAAUGUGAAUCAUCUGUGAAUCAGAUCUACAGUCUUUGAUGAAUAGAUUGAUGCAUGCCUGUUCUUGGGAUUACUACUGUUUUAUGUAAGUGAUUCACUCUUACAAUGGCACCACUUUUCUCACUCCCAGGAUCCCAUGCUUUCCAUUAUCUUCUGUAACUGUUUCUCCACCAGCUCCUUUUUCCUCAAGUAUGCUCAAAAUUUUCCUGUCCUUAAAUCCCUCGAUCUCUUCACAAAUAGCUUAUUUUUUCCAAAGGAAAAAAAACUGUAACUUCAUAUUGGAGAAACCCAGCAAACAUCAACUUUAACAAGUAAUCAAAGUUAACAUCACCAGUAAUGUGACCAACUAACAGCCCCUGGCUCCUGAUAGGACGCCCUGAGUCGGAAACAACAUC